GACGAAGGAUGCAAGCGUUAUCCGGAUUCAUUGGGUUUAAAGGGUGCGUAGGUGGCCUUAUAAGUCAGUGGUGAAAUCUCUCAGCUUAACUGGGAAAUUGCCAUUGAUACUGUAGGGCUUGAGUACAGAUGCCGUUGGCGGAAUAUGACAUGUAGUGGUGAAAUACAUAGAGAUGUCAUAGAACACCGAUUGCGAAGGCAGCUGACGAAACUGUAACUGACACUGAGGCUCGAAAGUGCGGGGAUCAAACAGG
rnacentral:rRNA from 1 species